CACGUAGGGGCCGAGCGUUGUCCGGAGUUACUGGGCGUAAAGCGCGCGCAGGCGGCCGCGUGGGCCCGGCGUGAAAGCCCCCGGCUCAACCGGGGGGGGUCGCCGGGGACCGCGCGGCUUGAGGGCGGGAGGGGCCGGUGGAAUCCCCGGUGUAGUGGUGAAAUGCGUAGAGAUCGGGGGGAACACCCGUGGCGAAGGCGGCCGGCUGGGCCGACCCUGACGCUGAGGCGCGAAGGCGUGGGGAGCGAACGGG
rnacentral:rRNA from 1 species